rnacentral:rRNA from 1 species
AUGAGGAUCACCAAACAAUGCAACCUGCCACUUUCUUUGGGUAAGCAUUAUCGCUCAAAUGUGUUGUGUGAUGUGGUUGACAUGGAUGUCAGCCAUGUUCUUCUUGGGAGGCCUUGGCAAUUUGAUGUGGAUACUACACACAAGGGCAAGAAAAAUUCUUAUUCUUUCAUUCGGAACAAGAGAAAGAUCAUUAUCUUACCAAACAAAACCGAAGGUAAUACCUCUAAGGAGGAGGGGAAAACUAUGUUAACUAUCUCCCAUACCUCUCAUGAGUUUAUGGGAAGACUUGAAGGAGGCAGAUUUGUGUGCUGCACUUGUUGUAAAGGAGAAGAGCACCUGACUGUUGAAAUUCCAGUAAAGGUACGUGGUUUAUUGGCAGAACUUCAGAACAUACUUGGGGAGCCACAUGGCUUGCCACCGAUGAGAGGAAUUCAACAUAGAAUUGACUUAAUUCCGGGAGCAAGUCUUCCUAAUCUUCCACACUAUGGAAUGAGCCCAAAGGAGCAUGAUAUAUUGAAGGAGAAAGUGGAGGAAUUGCUGCAAAAGGGGCACAUUCGAGAAAGUAUUAGCCCAUGUGCUGUACCAGCCCAGCUCGCGCCUAAGAAAGAUGGAUCUUGGCGCAUGUGUACGGACAGUAGAGCCGUUAACAAGAUCACCGUAAGACCAGGGGAUGAAUGGAAGACCGCCUUCAAGACAAAGGAAGAGUUGUUUGAAUGGCUAGUCAUGCCAUUUGGACUCUCAAAUGCACCAAGUACCUUUAUGCACUUAAUGAAUCAAGUCCUUAGACCCUUCUUAUCCCACUUUGUUGUGGUCUAUUUCGAUGACAUCUUGAUCUAUAGCAAGGAUGAGGAUGAACACUUUGAUCACAUUCGGAAGGUGCUAGAAGUACUAAGGGAAAAUGACCUCUACGUCAACUUGAAGAAAUGUGUUUUCCUACAAACACAACUUCUUUUCCUAGGAUUCGUCAUAACAUGUGACAGCAUUCAUGUUGAUGAUUCUAAGGUUGAAGCAAUCAGAGAAUGGCCAACUCCUAAGACCAUUUCUGAGGUAAGAAGCUUUCAUGGCCUUGCAACUUUCUAUAGGCAAAUUGUGAAGAAUUUCAGCACUAUCAUGGCACCAAUUACCGAGUGUUUGAAGAAAGGAAAGUUCCAAUGGAUAGAAGCAGCUGAAGCUAGUUUCAAUGAGAUUAAACAAAAGCUAUCACAAGCUCCUGUCUUGGUACUACCUGAUUUCAACAAGACUUUUGAGUUGGAGUGUGAUGCAAGUGGAGUAGGCAUUGGAGCUUCCUAUCUCAAGAAAGGAAGCCCAUUGCUUUCUUUAGUGAGAAGUUAA